rnacentral:rRNA from 1 species
UACAGAGGGUGCGAGCGUUGUUCGGAAUUAUUGGGCGUAAAGGGCGCGUAGGCGGUGCGGUAAGUCACCUGUGAAAUCUCCUGGCUCAACUGGGAGCUUGCAGGCGAAACUGCCGUGCUGGAGUGUGGGAGAGGUGCGUGGAAUUCCUGGUGUAGCGGUGAAAUGCGUAGAUAUCAGGAGGAACACCUGUGGCGAAAGCGGCUCACUGGACCACAACUGACGCUGAGGCGCGAAAGCUAGGGGAGCAAACAGG